rnacentral:rRNA from 1 species
UACAGAGGUCUCAAGCGUUGUUCGGAUUCAUUGGGCGUAAAGGGUGCGUAGGCGGCGCGGUAAGUCGGGUGUGAAAUCUCGGAGCUUAACUCCGAAACUGCAUUCGAUACUGCCGUGCUUGAGGACUGGAGAGGAGACUGGAAUUUACGGUGUAAGCGGUGAAAUGCGUAGAUAUCGUAAGGAAGACCAGUGGCGAAGGCGGGUCUCUGGACAGUUCCUGACGCUGAGGCACGAAGGCCAGGGGAGCAAACGGGAUUAGA